AACGCUGCCGGCGUGCCUAAUACAUGCAAGUCGAGCGGAUCGAUGGGAGCUUGCUCCCUGAGAUCAGCGGCGGACGGGUGAGUAACACGUGGGUAACCUGCCUGUAAGACUGGGAUAACUCCGGGAAACCGGGGCUAAUACCGGAUAACACCUACCCCCGCAUGGGGGAAGGUUGAAAGGUGGCUUCGGCUAUCACUUACAGAUGGACCCGCGGCGCAUUAGCUAGUUGGUGAGGUAAUGGCUCACCAAGGCCACGAUGCGUAGCCGACCUGAGAGGGUGAUCGGCCACACUGGGACUGAGACACGGCCCAGACUCCUACGGGAGGCAGCAGUAGGGAAUCUUCCGCAAUGGACGAAAGUCUGACGGAGCAACGCCGCGUGAGUGAAGAAGGUUUUCGGAUCGUAAAACUCUGUUGUUAGGGAAGAACAAGUGCCGUUCGAAUAGGGCGGCGCCUUGACGGUACCUAACCAGAAAGCCACGGCUAACUACGUGCCAGCAGCCGCGGUAAUACGUAGGUGGCAAGCGUUGUCCGGAAUUAUUGGGCGUAAAGCGCGCGCAGGUGGUUUCUUAAGUCUGAUGUGAAAGCCCACGGCUCAACCGUGGAGGGUCAUUGGAAACUGGGGAACUUGAGUGCAGAAGAGGAAAGUGGAAUUCCAAGUGUAGCGGUGAAAUGCGUAGAUAUUUGGAGGAACACCAGUGGCGAAGGCGACUUUCUGGUCUGUAACUGACACUGAGGCGCGAAGCGUGGGGAGCAAACAGGA
rnacentral:rRNA from 1 species